UACGUAGGUGGCAAGCGUUGUCCGGAUUUACUGGGCGUAAAGGGCGUGCAGGCGGUUGGUUAAGUCCAGGGUGAAAGCUCCCGGCUCAACUGGGAGAGGUCCUUGGAUACUGGCCGACUUGAGGGAGGCAGAGGAGAGUGGAAUUCCCGGUGUAGUGGUGAUAUGCGUAGAUAUUGGGAGGAACACCAGUGGCGAAGGCGGCUCACUGGACCGGUACUGACGCUGAGGCGCGAAAGCGUGGGGAGCAAACAGG
rnacentral:rRNA from 1 species